rnacentral:tRNA from 4 species
GGGUGAUUAGCUCAGCUGGGAGAGCACCUCCCUUACAAGGAGGGGGUCGGCGGUUCGAUCCCGUCAUCACCCACAA